AGAAGGAUCAUUAACAAAUACCCUUAUUUAAACCAAACCGAGAAUUGUUCUUGACCAUUGAUUAGAGAGAGUCUAGUUCUAAGUGAUGAUAGCAGUGAGAGGAUUCGAAAGGAUCUUUAUUGCUUAGAACUGCUCAGUAAUGAGGUAGCUCUCUUCUCAGUGUAGCACUGUUGGAUUUGUAACUCGCAAGAGUUCCUAAUCUGUUUUACUAUUUUACCCCCUUUGUAACAAUUGUACUAAUCCCACUUUGUGGUUCUUAUGAAAGUAAGAAACCCUACAAUACAACUCUUAGCAACGGAUAUCUUGGCUCUCGUAUCGAUGAAGAACGCAGCGAACUGCGAUACGUAAUGCGAAUUGCAGAAUUCAGUGAAUCAUCAAAUCUUUGAACGCAUACUGCGCUUUCGGGAUAUGCCUGAAAGCAUGCCUCUCUGAGUGUCGUUUCAAACCCAACUCGACUUUUUGUCGGAUAAUGUAAGUCUUGCUUCAGAAGAUGCAAGUCUUAUUAAAUACAGAUAAAUCUACUGAUCCUUCAGUUUAACAUGAGUCUUAUUGCUCAUCUAGUACUGAUGUAUGAUAUUUGACCUUUAUGGUCAUUACUUUUGUACAUCUCGGUAUUAGGAGCGUUUGAUUUAUGUGAAGGACCAUUAGGUUAGAUCAGCAAUGAUCGAACCCAAACUUUCUUGAACUUUGACCUCAGAUGAAGUAGGAUUACCCGCCGAAUUUAAGCAUAUUAUUAAGCGGAGGAAAAGAAACUAACAAGGAUUCCCCUAGUAACGGCGAGUGAAGCGGGAAUAGCUCAACCUGAAAAUCGGUGUGCUCUGUACAUCGAGUUGUGGGCUUGAGACUGUAUGUUAGCGUGCGACCUGGGUAUAAAUCCUUUGGAAUAGGGUAUCAUAGAGGGUGAGAAUCCCGUCUUUGACUCAGAGUUCGCCGCGUACGACUAUAGCUCCUAGAGUCGAAUAGCUUGGGAAUGCUGUUCUAAGUAGGUGGUAAAUUUCAUCUAAAGCUAAAUAUCGACGAGAGACCGAUAGCGAACAAGUACCGCGAGGGAAAGAUGAAAAGAACUUUGAAAAGAGAGUUAAAAAGUACUUGAAAUUGCUAAGAGGGAAGCACUGGAAACCAGUAAUGCUUGGAUCUAUAUUUCCCGUUUGCCUAUGUAAGGUGGUUUGCCUAGAUCGUAAGACUGGGUGGAUUAUCUGAAGUGGGUAGGCGGUGUCUGUAGGUUUGAGUGAGUCAGGAUCAGUUAGAGCGGUGAGAGAAAGCUAGUGGGAAGGUAGCCGAUUGGUUUCUUCGGGGAUUAAUCGGAACUUAUAGCCCAUUAGCCCUAUCAUGGCUUUGACUGAGGUAAAAAACUUAAUCUGCGCCUUUGGCAGCUUUUGCUGACCUCUGCUGUCUGGUAUGAUUGGGAGAACAAAGUUCUGCCGUUGUAUUCAGGUGGUACUGGGUUGGACAAAAGACUUGCAGAUUCGAGAUCUUGACGAAAUGGUUUUCAUUGACCCGUCUUGAAACACGGACCAAGGAGUCUAACAUAUAUGCGAGUAUUUGGGUGUAAAAACCCUGAUGCGGAAUGAAAGUGAAGGACAACUUAGUUGUCUUAGGGAGGAAUCUUGGCGCAAGCUGAGAGGCACUCUCGACCGAUCUAUCGUUUACGAAAGAUUUGAGUAAGAGCAUAUCUGUUGGGACCCGAAAGAUGGUGAACUAUGCCUGUGCAGGGCGAGGCCAGGGGAAACUCUGGUGGAGGCUCGUAGCGAUACUGACGUGCAAAUCGUUCGUCUGACAUGGGUAUAGGGGCGAAAGACUAAUAGAACCAUUUAGUAGCUGGUUCCCUC
rnacentral:misc_RNA from 1 species